GACGAACGCUGGCGGCGUGCUUAACACAUGCAAGUCGAGCGGUAAGGCCCCUUCGGGGGUACACGAGCGGCGAACGGGUGAGUAACACGUGAGCAAUCUGCCCAUCACAUCGGGAUAACUCCGGGAAACCGAAGCUAAUACCGAAUACGACCACCUCCGGCAUCGGAUGGUGGUGGAAAGUUCCGGCGGUGAUGGAUGAGCUCGCGGCCUAUCAGCUUGUUGGUGGGGUAACGGCCCACCAAGGCUUCGACGGGUAGCCGGCCUGAGAGGGUGACCGGCCACACUGGGACUGAGACACGGCCCAGACUCCUACGGGAGGCAGCAGUGGGGAAUAUUGGACAAUGGGCGAAAGCCUGAUCCAGCAACGCCGCGUGAGGGAUGACGGCCUUCGGGUUGUAAACCUCUUUCGGCAGGGACGAAGCGCAAGUGACGGUACCUGCAGAAGAAGCACCGGCCAACUACGUG
rnacentral:rRNA from 1 species